UACGGAGGAUGCGAGCGUUAUCCGGAUUUAUUGGGUUUAAAGGGUGCGCAGGCGGAUUUUUAAGUCAGCGGUCAAAUCGUGGGGCUCAACCCCAUCCAGCCGUUGAAACUGGGGAUCUAGAGUGUGCGAGAGGUAUGCGGAAUGCGUGGUGUAGCGGUGAAAUGCGUAGAUAUCACGCAGAACCCCGAUUGCGAAGGCAGCAUACCGGUGCACAACUGACGCUCAGGCACGAAAGCGUGGGUAUCGAACAGG
rnacentral:rRNA from 1 species